rnacentral:lncRNA from 1 species
GUAUCCCAUCCUGAAGUUAGGGCUUUGAUUCGGGAUCCAAAGACAUGUCUGAGAUCGAAGUGUGCACUAUGUAGGGAUGGGUUCUAUAGGUCCUGGUCUAAAGUAGUGUACUAUAUAGGGAAUAGGUUCUUAGGGUCCUGGUCUAAGUAGUGCACUAUAUAGGGAAUAGGUUCUAUAGGGCUCUGGUAAAGUAGUGCACUAUAUGGAAUAGGGUUCUUAGGGUCCUGGUCUAAAGUAGUGCCACUAUAUAGGGAAUAGGGGGCCGUCUUGGAUGUGAAGUCUAUGAGCUGUCGUCCUUGUCUGCCCGUGGAAUCACCAAGAUGAGGCAUCUCAAACAAUCAUUCAAGCAUUUUAUUGUGAUUCGACAAACACUGUAAAUAAAAACACAAGCAAAAAGGCAUAUAUUGGUAUUUGAUGUCUCUUGAAUAAAAAUAAAAAUUGUUCCAAACACCUCCCAAAGACAAGGAAAGAGAUCUCGACACCAAGGAAAAGAGAUCUCCGACACCCAAGGAAAAGAGAUCUCCGACCCCAAAAAGAGAUCCGACAACCCAAAGAAAAGAGAUCUCCGACACCCAAGGAAAAGAGAUCUCCGACACCCAAGGAAAAGAGAUCUCCGACACACAAGGAAAAGAGAUCUCCGACACCCAAAGAAAAGAGAUCUCCGACACCCAAGGAAAAGAGAUCUCCGACACCCAAGGAAAGAGAUCUCCGACACCCAAGGAAAAGAGAUCUCCGACACACAAGGAAAAGAGAUCUCCGACACCCAAGGAAAAGAGUCUCCGACACACAAGGAAAAGAGAUCUCCGACACCCAAGGAAAAGGAUCUCCGACACCAAUGUUCCCUCAAAUUUUCAGCACUGACCACAAUUUCAGGUCUGCAGAGUCAAACUUGGAACGUUGUGAAAAUUCUGUACAACUUCCAGGGCAUGUCUACUGUGAACACAGAAACCACCUGCUUUAAGUUACAGUUUUUACUGUGAACACUGAGGCUGUACCCACUUUAGCUACAGUUUUACUGUGAACACUGAGGCUGUACCCACUUUAAGCUACAGUUUUACUGUGAACACAGGCUGUACCCACUUUAAGCUACAGUUUUACUGUGAACACUGGGCUGUACCCACUUUAAGUUACAGUUUUACUGUGAACACGAGGCUGUACCCACUUUAAGCUCAGUUUUACUGUGAACACAGGCUGUACCCACUUUAAGUUACAGUUUUACUGUGAACAACAGGCUGUACCCACUUUAAGUUACAGUUUUACUGUGAACACAGGCUGUACCCACUUUAAGUUACAGUUUUACUGUGAACACAGGCUGUACCCACUUAAGUUACACGUUUUACUGUGAACACUGAGGCUGUACCCACUUUAAGCUACCGUUUUACUGUGAACACAGGCUGUACCCACUUUAAGCUACAGUUUUACUGUGAACACUGAGGCUGUACUGCUUUAAGUUACCGUUUUACUGUGACACUGAGGCUGUACCCACUUUAAGCUACCGUUUUACUGUGAACACUGAGGCUGUACCCACUUUAAGUUACAGUUUUACUGUGAACACUGAGGCUGUACCCACUUUAAGCUACAGUUUUACUGUGAACACAGAAACCACCUGCUUUAAGUUACAGUUUUACUGUGAACACUGAGGCUGUACCUGCUUUAAGCUACAGUUUUAACAGUGGCCAAGCAGGCUACUGUGACUAUUUGAUCGUAAUGUAGUAGGCCUAUCAGAGUGGCCUACCAUCAAAAACAAUGGCGAAAAGGCAUCCCAUAAUAUUUUAACAUGGAAUUAGCUGUUCUAUCUUUCGGCCUACAGUAGCAGCCAUUGUGUGGUGUUCAGUGUAGGCCUACAUUCCAUCAGACUUCUGAAGAAAACAAACAUGCAGGGCUUAACAUUAAACCUGUUUAUCCACUUGUCCUUCAGACAAGGAUGUAACUGAAAAUGUUGUGGUGUUUGAUGCAAGAAACCACUUUCACAAAAUAAAAUGCAUUAUUCCCAUACUGUUAUUACAGAGAAUGAGCCACAUUAUUCUACCCUCUGCCUAUUGGCUACUUAGAUUUGAAUAAGCUGUCUCAAAAAUAGGCCUACUGCAGCUCUGAUUGGUUAUGAGUCGUGAGCAAUACAAUCCUACUCCUGAUGUGUUCUGCCUACAUCAACAUAUCUUGCAUAGUUUGUUUUGUUUAGGUAUGUUGCACUGAAAGUGGCUAAUAUUGCGUUGAUCACAAUUGCCACUGUAAAGGGAAACGUUAAUAGUGUUAACUAACGGGGAAGUUCAAUCUCGUGCUUCUCUGUGUGGGCUAAUAUUUCUAACGUGCUCUGCGUGGAUGUCCGGGGGGAGCUGCGCGGCAGUCUUGGGGUUACUGCGUGCGUGGUUAGUGGUAACGUUGCCGGCACCUCACUUUAUGCUACUUGAGUUCCUGUAUCUCUUAUAAAAUAUUGCAGUUCCGGCACAGAAACGUAAACUACCCCGCACCUAUAUUUCAGUUCGCGUCAAGGACUGAGCAUCCCUGUGGAAAUAAUUUAGACUAAUUCCAUGUUUACAAUAAUGCCUGGUGAAGAAAAUGAAUGAGAUGCAGGUGCUUUGAGUCCACUUCUAAAUGGGGAUGAGAUGUAAAUUCCAUUUGUGACCGCAUGAUGUCACCAAAGCCUAUGCUAUAGCCUCUUACGCAACAGAUGUAUCCGAGCUCACUCCCGAGAGCUCUUCUUUCCAUUGAACGGUGGAUUUCAUCAGUUCUCCGUUUUGGUCGUUUUGAGCUACGUUAUGAGGUUUUGGUAAACCAAUAUUUGUAUGAAGGGUUUUCAGAUAUUUGUGAGCUAUAUUUUACACUACCCCUUCUUAAGUUUUUGUUUGAACAUUAACAUACAGAAAGUCCAUGAUUUAAAAUUUUGCAAUUACACAGGAUUAUUU